AUGCACGCUGGCGGCGUGCCUAAUACAUGCCAGUCGAGCGAACAGAUGAGGAGCUUGCUCCUCUGACGUUAGCGGCGGACGGGUGAGUAACACGUGGAUAACCUACCUAUAAGACUGGGAUAACUUCGGGAAACCGGAGCUAAUACCGGAUAAUAUAUUGAACCGCAUGGUUCAAUAGUGAAAGACGGUUUUGCUGUCACUUAUAGAUGGAUCCGCGCCGCAUUAGCUAGUUGGUAAGGUAACGGCUUACCAAGGCAACGAUGCGUAGCCGACCUGAGAGGGUGAUCGGCCACACUGGAACUGAGACACGGUCCAGACUCCUACGGGAGGCAGCAGUAGGGAAUCUUCCGCAAUGGGCGAAAGCUUGACGGAGCAACGCCGCGUGAGUGAUGAAGGUCUUCGGAUCGUAAAACUCUGUUAUUAGGGAAGAACAAAUGUGUAAGUAACUAUGCACGUCUUGACGGUACCUAAUCAGAAAGCCACGGCUAACUACGUG
rnacentral:rRNA from 1 species